UUUUGUUCACUGUGAUAUGAGGGAACCAUAUAUUGAGGAUAAUAUUUUAAAUAAACGAGUGAUCAGAAGAAAGGUUGCCAUGUUUUAGGCGACUGGUCUGUUGACGGUAUGGUUGAAGUUUAAGCAAGUAAUUCCCUCACAUAAGCAGAGAAUGAACACAACCGAGGGUACAUUUUCCGACUGAAGAAAGCAAUCCGAUGUCCCUGCUGAGAAAGCACAGCUCCUAUGGCGACGCUAGAUGCAUCAGUGGUAACCUCAAAUGGCGUGGAAAAAUCUGCAAGACCAUAAAUGGAAGGAUUGCUAUUGGACUGGAGAUUAACAGUGGGGUUUACAUGUGUUGGGAGUUAGGAAAAUUGAGCUUGAAACCAAGUGGAGCAAAGCAGAGCUUAUGCUGGAGUUGAGGCAUGAUAUCACCUGACCAAAUCAGCCCUCUCAGAAAUGGAGUCUAAUUUUUCUAACAACCACACUAGUAAUAAGGCGUGUUCGUGAGCUAAGUUGUAAUGGUGAUAAGUUUCAGUCAUGUGUUUUCCAUCCAAAGUAUUCUUCAUUGUUGGUCAUUGACGCAUCCUUUUUUAUAAUUCCUUUCCUUUUUUUAGAAAUUAGUUAGAGUUGGUACUCUAAUAGUUACUAGUUGAGUUCUAUAAAUAGAACUAAUAGGUACACAUUUCAUCAUCUUUUAAUCAAUAAUUCAAUAUGAAUACUCAAGGUUUUUCCUUCAUAUCAAGCUCUCAAGCUUAUUUCUCUUAUGAGAUUCAUCAUCAACUCUUUGAUCCUGUGAUUUCUAACAUGGUAUCAGAGCGAUACUGUGAUUACGCUUCCGCGGAUGAAAGUGAUGAAGAUUCAACUUCUGUUGACGUGUCUGAUUCAGUUUCUGUCACCAUUGAUCAAGAUUCUGAUUUUGCAACCAUAGAGAAAAGGAAUUCUGAAUUCUUUUUCGGAUGUUUCAGUCAAGAUUCAAAAUUUGAAAUGGUGCAGAUAAUUCUUAUUGAGACAGUCAAGCCUUCAAUUAAAGGAAGAUCCAUCAAAAUUGGAGAAAUGGAUUGCUUCCUUUUGGUCUCUGAAUCUGAACCAGUAGCAAACAGAAAAAGCAAGAAUCUAUUUUUGAAGAUGAAGAACUUUAUUUCUUACCGUGAAGAAAGUUUCAGUGAACAAGAUAAAGAGUUUCAUCCAUCUCUGCAUCAAGAAUCACCAUUCCAAGAAUUUAUGGAGGAGGAUUGUGUUUCAGAGAUAAAGAAGAAAUCAACUUCUAACUUCCCUUAUUUCCUAUCACAGCAAGAUUCAUUUCUUGAAUCUAGAAUCAUGGAGUCUCAAUAUGAUAUCGUUUUUGGUAAGAAGAUUCUACGAUUAAGAUUCAGGAAAUCACCAUUUCAAGAACCACUGCGCCCAUAUUCCUCACUCCAAAUCUGGUUCAUUUUUCAUCUUCAAAGCUUGAGAAAUUGGUCUCAGCAACAAGCACACUGAGGCACGUCAAUUUCUUCUUCGAUCUAUGUGGUGUCCACAUCGAAGUCUUUGAUCCCGGUGGAAUUUACACGAGCAUCUUCAAUCUCCAUCUAAAUUUGAAAUUGCGGUAUUUCGUUUUCCCAUUUUCUGUAAUUUUCUUGUCGAUUUCAUUUCCACAUUUCUGCAUCACCGUCUUUGAUCCCGGUGGAAACUUCACCUUCAUUAUCUUCUUCAUGGUGCACUGUCUCUCCACGUUGUGUAUCAACCCCAUCAUAUUAUGUGUUCUGGUCAACACCGUGUCUUUCUCAGUAAUCGAUUUAUCAUGAAGAGAAAACAAUGGCCAAAAAUUUUCAGGUCACUAUCUUUUGUUGAACCCUGGUUAUCCAAUUACAUCUUCAAGGUUCAGGUCAUCAGUUUCACUAUGGUAAUAUGAAUUUUGCUUUGAAUUGCCAAGAAAUUAAGUCACAUGAUGAUGCUUCCAGUUUCUGAUUUCACAAAUAUGGAAAUGUGCAGUUUGGUUAUUGAAAGAUGGUGACUUAAUUUACACCCUGGUUUAUGCAUAGUUAUGGAAAUUAGACAUUAAUUCUUGAUUUUUGGUGGAAUUUGAGGUUGCAAGUAGGUUGUCAUUGUGAGUAGCUGGUAAUUGUGGUUUGAUUUAAUCUCCCAAUAUUUUCGAUUAAGUGGUUUCUGCAAGUUUCUAAAUGGUAUUGGUAGUUUCUGCAAGUUUUGAUUUAAUCUCCCAGUCUGGUACACAGAAGCACUAUGCCUUCAACAUUAUAAGCUUUCAAGUAUUUGAUGGAUUGGAGAUGAAGGUUUCAUUUAGAGACUAGCAUAUUGAGGUCCAAUCUAAUGUUGAUUCAAGAACUUGCAUGUUGUCCUAUUUGGAAUCAAUUCAUUAAGGCUUGGAAGCAAUAUGCACCAGAAGCAAUGUUUAGCCUUAAUGGCUUCCUUUGUUUUUUUGGAAGGUGGUUCCAAAUUUCUCAAUGGGAGAGAGAUCAUCGAACUAUGGGACAAAAUUUGCUCCAAUAUCAGAGCAAGUCAAAUUGCAGUCGAAGCUUUGGUGUGAUAGAGCAAAACUACCUAGAAGAAGCUAUUUUAUUUCAACAUUAUUGACUUAACUCUAUUAACCUCCAUGAUCCUAUCAUUACCUACCCCUUCAAGAUCAACCUUGUCCUCAAGGUUGUAAAUAUAACUCAUAGAAGUAUGUUUCCCCUGGUCCCAAUGUUUGAACUGGCAUGUUUGUACCGUUGUGGUAUCCAAAAGUAUGCCUAGGUCCCAUUGUUGCUUGUUUCCAAUUCUCACAGAACAUGUUGAAAUGAGUUGUUGCUGAAGAAAUAAUGGUUGCUGCAUAAUAUUGACACAAUCGUGAUAAUUGGCACAAAAAUAAACCACUCUAAGAAUUGUAGAGCAAAUUUGUUGCAACUCCUCCCCUGCACUUCCCCUUUGUUUCAGUACUAUGGCCAAACUAGUAACAAGGUUCCAUAAUGUAGCAAUGCCCUGAGAGUAAUUUCUAAUAAUCAUGAGGUAACAAAGAUCCAUGUGAUUCAACACAUCACAUACCUUGUUGUGUAACUUGUGCAAGAUAAGCAAAUAGACUUUGGCUUCCAAACUUAGUUUUAUUGCUGCAUUUCACCAGAUUGCAAAAUGGCUCCAGGUUGCGUUAAGGCAUACAAGGACUGCAAUUAAACUUGCACAGGGUCAGUUUAGAGAAAUACUAUUCAGUUCUGAUGUGAAGCGUCAGUUUAGAGAAUUACUAUUCAGUUGUGAUGUGAAGCUUGCAGACUUUCCUGGGUCUUGGUAUCUCCUGUUUCUUUAUAUGAAGCAAGUUGACAAGGUAGUGAAAUUUCUAAUUUGGAAGAACAAACAGUUUCAAUUGUAAUAAGGUGUGUUCGUGAGCUAAGUUGUAAUGGUGAUAAGUUUCAGUCACGUGUUUUUCAUCCAACGUAUUCUUCAUUGUUGGUCAUUGGCACAUCCUUUUUUAUAAUUCCUUUCCUUUUUUUCUUGUCUCUGCAUCCUUAGUUUGUUGUUCUAGAUUUCCAUAGGAGGGCAUGGUUAAAACGAUACCAAUUGGGUCAGCUUACCCAAAUAUAAUUGUCUUCAUUGAUAGGAAAAAAUAAUCAGUAUUUUGUGUUUUACAUAUCAAUCUUCUGCAGAUCAUUAGAAAGGCUUGUGGCCAGUCACUAAAUGUUUCAUUGAACCUUGAAGUCAAAUAGUUUUACGAAUCGCCUACCCAAUUGUGUUGUUUAGUUAACUUCUUAUUUCAGUUGCUUUCAUCUCCCAUGUCAUAAGCUUUAGGUUGUUUGAAGUUUGAGGAAAGUUGUAUGAGCUUCUUAUCAAUUGCAGUCCUCCAGAAAUCAUGUCGAAGUUGGCAGUGAUAUGCUUUUUUGGAGCCUGCUGCACAUAUCUGAAGGGAAACAUAAUCUAAAAUAUGAAGAGCAGACGAACAUUCUUAAGGGAAACUUAUUCUUGCAGCCUUCUUUUUUAACACAAUAAGGCAGUGUUAUGCUUAUAGAUACAUGUUUUUCUAGGGAAAUUUAAGGGAUCUAAAUUGUUGUAUUGUGAUUUGCAUGGAUUGUAUAAAACAUACUUGCUAUGUAAAUUUUAGAUUCAAUAAUUAGAUGAGUUCACUAGCAUUGUUUGUCAAACAAAAAGUUCAUAAAUGAAUAUUUUCUUGAAAGACUA